rnacentral:rRNA from 1 species
CCUACGGGCGGCAGCAGUGAGGAAUAUUGGUCAAUGGCCGGAAGGCUGAAUCAGCCAUGCCGCGUGAAGGUCAGUGCCCUAUGGGCGUUAAACUUCUUUUGUGCGGGAGCAAUAAUGGUCACGUGUGGCCAGACGAGAGUACCGUACGAAUAAGCAUCGGCUAACUCCGUGCCAGCAGCCGCGGUAAUACGGGGGAUGCAAGCGUUAUCCGGAUUUAUUGGGUGUAAAGGGUGCGUAGGCUGGGAGGUAAGUCAGCGGUGAAAUGCCCCCGCUCAACGGGGUGAAGUGCCAUUGAUACUGGCUGGCUGGAAUGCGGAUGCCGUGGGAGGAAUGUGUGGUGUAGCGGUGAAAUGCAUAGAUAUCACACAGAAGACCGAUUGCGAAGGCAUCUCACGAAUCCGCGAUUGACGCUGAUGCACGAAAGCGUGGGUAUCAAACAGGAUUAGAUACCCGAGUAGUC